GGAGAGAUGGCCGAGUGGCUUAAGGCGGCGGUCUUGAAAACCGUUGUGGGCGCAAGCUUACCGGGGGUUCGAAUCCCUCUCUCUCCGCCA
rnacentral:tRNA from 1 species